rnacentral:tRNA from 1 species
GGGCCGCUAGCUCAUCAGGCAGAGCAACAGACUUUUAAUCUGUUGGUGCUGGGUUCGAGUCCCAGGCGGCUCACCA